rnacentral:rRNA from 1 species
UACGUAGGGGGCAAGCGUUGUUCGGAAUUACUGGGCGUAAAGCGCGCGUAGGCGGUUUGAAAAGUCAGAUGUGAAAGCCCCGGGCUCAACUUGGGAACUGCAUUUGAUACUGUCAGACUAGAGUACAGAAGAGGUGACUGGAAUUCCCAGUGUAGCGGUGAAAUGCGUAGAUAUUGGGAGGAACACCAGUGGCGAAGGCGGCUCACUGGACCGGUUCUGACGCUGAGGCGCGAAAGCGUGGGGAGCAAACGGG